GAUGAACGCUGGCGGCGUGCUUAACACAUGCAAGUCGAACGAAGCACUUCGAUUUCUUCGGAUUGAGGAGUGACUGAGUGGCGGACGGGUGAGUAACGCGUGGGUAACCUGCCUCAUACAGGGGGAUAACAGUUAGAAAUGGCUGCUAAUACCGCAUAAGCGCACAGUACCGCAUGGUACGGUGUGAAAAACUCCGGUGGUAUGAGAUGGACCCGCGUCUGAUUAGCUAGUUGGGGAGGUAACGGCUCACCAAGGCGACGAUCAGUAGCCGACCUGAGAGGGUGACCGGCCACAUUGGGACUGAGACACGGCCCAAACUCCUACGGGAGGCAGCAGUGGGGAAUAUUGCACAAUGGGGGAAACCCUGAUGCAACAACGCCGCGUGAGUGAUGACGGCCUUCGGGUUGUAAAGCUCUGUCUUCAGGGACGAUAAUGACGGUACCUGAGGAGGAAGCCACGGCUAACUACGUGCCAGCCGCCGCGGUAAGAC
rnacentral:rRNA from 1 species